rnacentral:rRNA from 1 species
UACGAAGGGGGCUAGCGUUGCUCGGAAUCACUGGGCGUAAAGGGUGCGUAGGCGGGUUUUUAAGUCAGGGGUGAAAUCCUGGAGCUCAACUCCAGAACUGCCUUUGAUACUGAAAAUCUUGAGUUCGGGAGAGGUGAGUGGAACUGCGAGUGUAGAGGUGAAAUUCGUAGAUAUUGGGAAGAACACCGGUGGCGAAGGCGGCGCUCUGGACCGAGACUGACGCUGAGGCGCGAAAGCGUGGGGAGCAAACAGG